rnacentral:rRNA from 1 species
AGUGAACGCUGGCGGUAGGCCUAACACAUGCAAGUCGAACGGCAGCACAGUAAGAGCUUGCUCUUACGGGUGGCGAGUGGCGGACGGGUGAGGAAUACAUCGGAAUCUACUUUUUCGUGGGGGAUAACGUAGGGAAACUUACGCUAAUACCGCAUACGACCUACGGGUGAAAGCAGGGGAUCUUCGGACCUUGCGCGAUUGAAUGAGCCGAUGUCGGAUUAGCUAGUUGGCGGGGUAAAGGCCCACCAAGGCGACGAUCCGUAGCUGGUCUGAGAGGAUGAUAAGCCACCCUGGAACUGAGACACGGUCCAGACUCCUACGGGAGGCAGCAGUGGGGAAUAUUGGACAAUGGGCGCAAGCCUGAUCCAGCCAUACCGCGUGGGUGAAGAAGGCCUUCGGGUUGUAAAGCCCCUUUGUUGGGAAAGAAAAGCAGCAGGUUAAUACCCCGCUGUUCUGACGGUACCCAAAGAAUAAGCACCGGCUAACUUCGUG